ensembl:lncRNA
CUCUCCCUCUACAAGGAGUUAAAUGAUUUGUCCCAAAUCACACAACUAGCAAGUGACAGGAUGAAAACUUGAAAGGAGAUUAUUUGACUUAUAAAUCCAGUUUCUCUUCAUUUCAUCAUAAAGCAGACUAUCAGAGGGAAUAAUGGAGUGACUAUGAAGCAACCGAACUCUGAUGCCCUUAACUGACCCAGCAGCCAAGAACAUCUGAAGAGGCGGAGAACAAACGAGAUAAGUGAUUUCUUAAGGAGGCUGAGAAGGAAUUGAUUCCAGAAAGAUACCACCACUCCUCAGUUAUGAAACCCAAGUGAGACCACAGUAUCCUGACUUCCAGCCUAGAGCUAUCUCUGAUUCAGUAAAUCUCUUCGCAGCAGCAUAUACACUGGGAACGGGAACUCUCACAGGUGCAGGACCCCGAUCAGCAACAACUUUGAAAUAAACUACAGCUCUCCUGUGCGCUAAAGGCAGAAAUGUGGAAAUAUUGAGAAAAUUCUUGUCUGCAUCACAGUAUGUAUAUCCUAGGAGGGCUUUCUUUUAAAAGAAAGAAACAUAUAUUGCAAAUAGGAGAGAUUUGACUGGGUCUAAGAUAAACCUCUCAACUUUGAGAACCAAGGUUUCUCAGAGAUUGAGAGGGGCUCACCCGAGCCAUCUUCAGUUUUUGAGACUCACAGUAUGUUAAAAAUUAAAUAUAAC